AUCAAAAGCUGGAAAAUUUUGGAGGCAUGUGGUGGGGGAAGGCAAGUCUGUUUAUUUUUAAAAAUCUUUCUCCCUAGGUAAAGUGAGGAGUUGGGAAAGAAAGGAAAACAUAAGAUGAGAUCUCUCUAUGAACAAGUGACGGUUUGAAGUGGGUCACCUCAUUGCCAUCGCAUAAGCACCUUAUUGCACCAACCCAAGGAAUCACCUGCAAGUGAACAGUGAAGGUUCAAUAAGGAUGGAAAAGAGUACUGAUAGCAAUUUGGAAGCAAAUCUAAGGAGUGCAUACUUUUCAUUAAAAGGUUAUUUCGUGCUUCCUCUCUUCCACACGAUCAAGAUCUUCAAAGUAAGCAUCUUUCAAAGGAACGACAAGCAAAAUACAGCUGCAGGAUCAGUAACUCCCUGUUAAGCAGCUUUGCCUGCUGUCACUAUUGACUGCUGGAGGUGGUGAUCCGUGUCAGUCACUAAAACGACACCUUGGCAAGACUGCAAUCUGCUCCCAGGGUUUUUGUGUAUGGGAACACUUAGAUAAUGAGAUUUUCAUAUAUUCCCAGCAGCUCACACGGUGCCUGGAAAAGAGUAGGUACCUGGGCAAUAUUUACAAAGAUUAACUAUGAAACCAUAUUUUGAAGGCUUUGCUAACAUGUCAUAGGCAGAUUUGUUGCAGAAUGAAGCAAUGCAAGAAUUUCCUCUUCCAUCUUGGAUAAAUUUUAUUAAUACUAGAAUAAAUAACUCUCCAAGCAGGCGGAGACUUUUAGU
rnacentral:lncRNA from 1 species